CCGAAAAAUUGCUGUGAUGUUCAAUGAACGUGUAACCAGGUCAAAAGUUCCGCCCUACGGUUCGCAAUGCUCCCAAGUAGGGAAAUGUAGCCUGCGAGAAGAACCCGGUUGCUUCAGUCUAUUCAGUGUGGGGACCCGGUGACCAUAGUACGCUUCACGUAACUAUGUUUGUGGAAAACAUUUAAUCACAACUAAGCCAUUUACGUUAUUUGGUAUAGUUCGUUUGUAACACUUAACUAUUGUAACCCAAUAGUCUAUUUUGUGUUGUUGGUCUUGUUUGGUUUAUGUUGCGGUUGAGAUGGUAGCUGGCUAGCAUUCACUCAUGUGGCUGCUAGUGCCAUGAAAAUGUGCAUGAGGGAAGCCCUACUACGUUUUUCUAAGUAGUGAGGACACGAGAGCAGGCAAUGUUGACAAGUAAUCUUUAUACAUGGUUUACUUUGAUAAAAUGUAAUUGACUAAAACAAACAGACAAAUAAUGUAUUUGCUGUGAGCCAAUGGGUUAACCUAGAAAACCACAAAUUGCGUUACGCGGGCGGGGCCGCGACGUUCUACUUACGGAUCGCCAUUUGGGUGGGUGACUCGUCUUUUGCGUGUCAAAAGCUACACGUCAAAUAACAUUAUGGCCAAUAUUUGCAAUCACAAUUAAGGCGCGCGUGAAGCCAGCUAUGAGUGCGUUCGUAAAUUCGCUCUGGCUAUCUACUCCGAUUUCAGAGCACUUUAAUCUGGAUAACAUAAACAACCUAACGAGCAGUUAGGACGAGUAAAAUGGUCAGAGUGAGGUGUUCUCUCAUUUGUGUCUGGAAGAAGCUGGCCAACCGUUAGCCAAUUAUAUUGGGUACUUGACUGCUCGUUGUGAGGUCAGAACGCUCGGAUUAACCCUACUAUGGAAGGCCAAGAGUUUCAAAUCGUCUUGAUUUGGACGCUUGUUACGGGCAUGGUUACACGCGUUCAUUACACCUGUUCAGUGUGCAUUUACAGGUGAUUAGAACGCCUGUGAAGUAACGGGCACAUCCCAUGUGUCUUAAAGUACCACAUUGUAGCCCCUCCCACCUCAAUUUUUGUGAGUUUGACUUCCGGCCUGUUGCGAUAAAUCGCUUACUCAGGGAGGAGGAGAUCAUUCUAAAUAUGGCUCAAAUUGUUAUUACAUUUACAGAAUGUAAACGCUACAGCAAGGCGUCGGAAUCUACUAAUUCUAUGUUGAACCAGCAACACAGAUGGAGGGGGAGGAAAACAGACUGCUUCUUUCUACAACACCUUCACCAAAUCAUACAAUGUUUGUUACAUCUGAAAUAAAUACAGAAUUAUUUUAGUUUA